rnacentral:tRNA from 2 species
GCCCCCGUAGCCCAACUGGCAGCAGGCAUCCGGCUUAAACCCGGUCACGGUGCGGGUUCGAGUCCCGCCGGGGGCA